CCUACGGGUGGCAGCAGUGAGGAAUAUUGGUCAAUGGACGUAAGCCUGAACCAGCCAAGUCGCGUGAGGGAUGAAGGUCCUAUGGAUUGUAAACCUCUUUUAUAAAGGAAUAAAGUGCGGGACGUGUCCCGUUUUGCAUGUACCUUAUGAAUAAGGAUCGGCUAACUCCGUGCCAGCAGCCGCGGUAAUACGGAGGAUCCGAGCGUUAUCCGGAUUUAUUGGGUUUAAAGGGUGCGUAGGCGGCUUGUUAAGUCAGUGGUGAAAGUUUGCGGCUAAACCAUAAAAUUGCAGUUGAAACUGGGAGUCUUGAGUAUAGUUGAGGUAGGCGGAAUGCGUGGUGUAGCGGUGAAAUGCUUAGAUAUCACGAAGAACCCCGAUUGCGAAGGCAGCUUGCCAAGCUAUGACUGACGCUGAUGCACGAAAGCGUGGGGAUCAAACAGGAUUAGAUACCCUUGUAGUC
rnacentral:rRNA from 1 species